UACAGAGGUGGCAAGCGUUGUUCGGAAUUACUGGGCGUAAAGGGCGCGUAGGCGGCCUUCUAAGUCAGACGUGAAAUCCCCCGGCUUAACCUGGGAACUGCGUCUGAUACUGGGAGGCUUGAGUAUGGGAGAGGGAUGUAGAAUUCCAGGUGUAGCGGUGAAAUGCGUAGAUAUCUGGAGGAAUACCGGUGGCGAAGGCGGCAUCCUGGACCAUAACUGGCGCUGAGGCGCGAAAGCUAGGGGAGCAAACGGG
rnacentral:rRNA from 1 species